rnacentral:rRNA from 1 species
GCGAACGCUGGCGGCGUGCCUAACACAUGCAAGUCGUGCGGAGGGGUGAUGAGCCCCUCAGCGGCAAACGGGUGAGUAACACGUGAGUAACCUGCCCUUGGGAAGGGGAUAACCCUCCGAAAGGAGGGCUAAUACCCUAUACUGCCGGGGACCACUAAGGUCUUCCGGUGAAAGGUGGCCUCUGCUCUGCAUGCUACCGCCCAAGGAGGGGCUCGCGGCCCAUCAGGUAGUUGGUGGGGUAACGGCCUACCAAGCCUAUGACGGGUAGCCGGCCUGAGAGGGUGGUCGGCCACAGUGGGACUGAGACACGGCCCACACCCCUACGGGGGGCAGCAGUGGGGAACCGUGGGCAAUGGGCGAAAGCCUGACCCAGCGACGCCGCGUGAGGGAGGAAGCCCUUCGGGGUGUAAACCUCAUAAGCCGGGGACGAAUAAGGCUGACCGAAUACGUCGGCCGAUGACGGUACCCGGCGUAAGGGACGGCUAACUAC